AGCCGUAUCUGUUAUGAAGAGUCAACACUUCAUUCGCUGUGUAGAACUAUUCUUCCAUUAUAUUUCACUGUAGUGAUAACAUGCAGCAUUAUACAAUCGAGUCACAUAGUAUAAUAUUCUGUUGGUUUUCUUAUUUUUUGAAUGCAACAGAAAUAUUCACAAAUGUUCGAAUACAGUAUUCCGUGGUGUGAUAUUUGUGUAGUAUUGGAACACUAAACGGCAAGCGACAGCAGACAGGCAUGGCGGCGUGAGUGGUGUGAAACUGUGACGGAGCCGCCGCUACCUGGAGCAGCAGCAGCAGCAACAACAACAACAACAACAACAACAACAACAACAACAACAACAACAACAACAACAACAACAACAACAACAACAACAGCAGCAGCAGCAGCAGCAGCAGCAGCAGCAGCAGCAGCAGCAACAACAACCCACCUACCAUCUGGCUGGUAUUUUGGUGGUUGUUAACUUAGAGGCUGUGUACGUGAUGACAACCUUGAUGCUGCACAGCUCGGGCGACUCGCUAAGGUGGACUGUAGUUUGGGUCACCAGCUGGAGGUGGCGGAUCACUUGUGAUGGUUUGCCGAGACUGGAACUAAGUAGCAGCGCAUUCCUGGUGAUCACAGCCAGAAUCCAGCUCAGAAUCAUACUACCAUAGAUCUGCAUCCUCAUUUGUCCAUAAUGAAAAUUGUAAUGAAAUUACAAAUUUAAUAUCCUCUCAGAUAUGGUGCUAGAAUGCAGUAAGCCACAAGUUAUUUGCUCUUGUAAGAGUGGCUACAAAUAACAGUAUUACAUGGAUUAUUAUGUAUACUUAGGAUACCUCAAAGACCCUCCAGAGAAAAACUGGUACAGCAUUUCAAAAAAAAAAAAAAUGUCACUUUGGUAGAGGAGUCCUCAGAACUCUUAGAACACUAGGAAGCUUAUUACUUGCAACACUGCAAGCUCACAAGUCUGAUACACAUGGAGCAAGUAUUAAUCAGAUUAGUGCCAACAGUAAAAUAUACUCUUGGGUGCAGCACAUCAUUGGAGAUGCCUCGACCAUGGCACAAUGUUGAAGACACCACCACCACCACGACAGAGCAGCACAGCAUCAUGGAGAUACCAUCACCAUAGUUGCGAGUUCGGAGGUCUGUGGAGAAAAACUGUCAAUCAGUUUGCACAAUUAAAACAGGUCAUGAAC
rnacentral:misc_RNA from 1 species